UACCAGCACCCCGAGUGGUCGGGACGAUUAUUGGGCCUAAAGCAUCCGUAGCCGGUUCUGCAAGUCCCCCGUUAAAUCCAGCUGCUUAACAGAUGGGCUGCGGAAGAUACUAUGGAGCUAGGAGGCGGGAGAGGCAAGCGGUACUCGAUGGGUAGGGGUAAAAUCCGUUGAUCCAUUGAAGACCACCAGUGGCGAAGGCGGCUUGCCAGAACGCGCUCGACGGUGAGGGAUGAAAGCUGGGGGAGCAAACCGG
rnacentral:rRNA from 1 species